rnacentral:rRNA from 1 species
UACGUAGGGCGCAAGCGUUAUCCGGAAUUAUUGGGCGUAAAGCGCGCGCAGGCGGUUCUUUAAGUCUGAUGUGAAAGCCCACGGCUCAACCGUGGAGGGUCAUUGGAAACUGGAGAACUUGAGUACAGAAGAGGAAAGCGGAAUUCCACGUGUAGCGGUGAAAUGCGUAGAGAUGUGGAGGAACACCAGUGGCGAAGGCGGCUUUCUGGUCUGUAACUGACGCUGAGGCGCGAAAGCGUGGGGAGCAAACAGG